UACGAAGGGGACUAGCGUUGUUCGGAAUCACUGGGCGUAAAGCGCACGUAGGCGGAUGUGUCAGUCAGGGGUGAAAUCCCGGGGCUCAACCUCGGAACUGCCUUUGAUACAGCACGCCUCGAGUCCGGAAGAGGUGGGUGGAAUUCCUAGUGUAGAGGUGAAAUUCGUAGAUAUUAGGAAGAACACCGGUGGCGAAGGCGGCCCACUGGUCCGGUACUGACGCUGAGGUGCGAAAGCGUGGGGAGCAAACAGG
rnacentral:rRNA from 1 species